rnacentral:lncRNA from 1 species
GAGAAAUGAAAAAUAAAUUCUAUUUUCCAUGAUACAAACAACAGCUUGAUGACAUCUUGGCUGAUGGGAUACCCAGAGGUCAGAGCCACUUGUGCCCUUUCAGAGGACAGGUACCAGAAUCCCCAGGACAUCAAGGAGUUUUAUGUUUAUCAACGGGGGACACGCUCUUGGUUAAGUAGUAGAACUUAGUUUGAUAUACGUCUUACAGAUUUGCCUUCAGACAUAUGAAGAUGACCUCAAUGGUGAUAGAAAACAUCUGAAUUUAAUUCUGUCCCUGUCUACCCUAUUCUUCCCUCUUUCUCUGACCCAUCCCAGGAAGGCACUCAGGGGGUCCAUUCUCAGUGCUCAACAAUGAAGAUCUGGCACUCCCCAGCUCAAUUAAUCUCU